rnacentral:tRNA from 1 species
GCCGCCGUAGCUCAGUUAGGUAGAGCAACGGGCUGUUAACCCGUAGGUCGUCGGUCCGAGUCCGACCGGCGGCGCCA